rnacentral:rRNA from 1 species
GAUGAACGCUGGCGGCGUGCCUAAUACAUGCAAGUCGAACGCUGAAGGAGGAGCUUGCUCUUUCCGGAUGAGUUGCGAACGGGUGAGUAACGCGUAGGUAACCUGCCUGGUAGCGGGGGAUAACUAUUGGAAACGAUAGCUAAUACCGCAUAACAGUAGAUAUUGCAUGAUAUUUGCUUGAAAGGGGCAAUUGCUCCACUACCAGAUGGACCUGCGUUGUAUUAGCUAGUUGGUGAGGUAACGGCUCACCAAGGCGACGAUACAUAGCCGACCUGAGAGGGUGAUCGGCCACACUGGGACUGAGACACGGCCCAGACUCCUACGGGAGGCAGCAGUAGGGAAUCUUCGGCAAUGGACGGAAGUCUGACCGAGCAACGCCGCGUGAGUGAAGAAGGGUGUCGGAUCGUAAAGCUCUGUUGUAAGAGAAGAACGAGUGUGAGAGUGGAAAGUUCACACUGUGACGGUAUCUUACCAGAAAGGGACGGCUAACUACGUG